UGGAGAGCUGGAGUAAUUAGGGCAGCUGCUGUGCUCCCUGCUGGGCCCUGCACCCUGCAAUGCCUGCUGCUGCCCGCCUGCCCCUCCAUCCACCUUGGGGCUCCGGCUGGCCGGGGACCAGGCCGAGGGGGGUCGGCUGGUUCCCCCGGGGACAUGCCUGGGCUGUGAUCUUUAGAUUUCUAGGGGAGCAGGAGCACUUCUCCUCCCCAGUGGCUUUGGCCUAGAUUUUUGGCAACAACAAUGGGUCUAAGAUGGGGCUGGAGGUUCUUCAGCCUGGGAAACUGGGGGCCUGGAGACACAGCUGGUCUUUUUCAUCCACCCACUCUGCUGAGUGUCCCUGAGCAGGACCACUUCCCUCUCGGGCAUCCAGGGUACCCAGCGCACGGACCACAGUGAUGAGGCAACUGAGGCCCAGUGAAGUGAAACCUUGGGACAGCUGGGACUGAUGCUCCAUUCGUGGAGUAAAGGAAAGGCCAUGUGGUACCAGUUCUCAGGGUUUCAACCCAGCUAAGCGGCAGCCUCGCCUAGGAUACCUCCAGCGACGAGGAAGUCACUACCUAAGCUUUGCUCUCUGUGUUUAGCUGUAAGAGGACCAGGUGACUAGACAUUGGCAUGAAUGAACCUUCAUUCUCCAGGAGAGAGGAGCCAAGGAGAGCCCCAUAAUGGUGUGAUUUCAGGGCAUUCAGCUCCAGGGCCAGGUGCCAGACUCCCUCCCAUACCCCAUCAUCGGCCUGCUACUACUGCCAGGGCAGGUGGAGGUAGCAGCCUGGAGCAGCUCCAGAGGGAACCUGGAGCCUGGGCCUCACCAGCAACACUCCCUGAAGCAGCCAGUUCCAGGUUUUGGACCCCAUGUCCUCACCUACCUCUUCUACCUGGGCCUGAGGUCUCAUCCAGGACAUGCUGAUGCUGCUCCCUCCACCUGGAAGUGUUCCUCAAACAGAACUUGUCUCAAGGGAGUCCUCUCUCUCCGAGCCCCCAGGCUCACAGUGCCCACUUCACCUUCACCUGGCUGAAGGCAACUUGCACCUCUCCUAUGGAGCAUUUCGAUGUUUUUCCUAGUUGAGCACGAGUGAUAACUAUGUGCAAAGUAAUAGCCUUCGUGCUUUUCCCUAUAUUAUUUCAUUUAAUCCUCAUGAUACCCCUCUGGUAGGGACUAUUGGACUAUUGUCAUUCCCACAGAGGAGAGGACGGAGGCUUCCGGAGGUUAGGGAGUUUGGCCAUGGUCACACACAGCCAGCAAAAGGCCAAGCUGGAAUUUGGCUCUCUGUCUGAGUCAGAGCGUUCAACUGCUAUUCCCAUACUACGUAUCUGCCUUUGACUUUACCAGACUCUGAGAUCAACCUGGCGAGGGUCGUGUUCCUCUCUCUGAGUCCCCAAGACCCGGCCCGGUGCCUGUCACUGAGUAGGAACCCCUGAACUGUCAAAUAAAAGUGAAAAUGAGUUUACGUUAUCAGAAGAGGCUCUUGGAGCCAGAAAAGCAGCCAGAGGCCAAAAGUGGUGGAAAUGUAGGCAGUGUAACAGGUGGUAGUGGGAGACAGCCAUGAAUGGAUCAGUUGGACCUGUUGCCACCAUGGGACAGACCCCUCCCUGCCCAAAUACACAUCAUCCUUCUUGCCUCUGCUGGUAAGCCCAGCUGCAGGAGCCUUCCAGAUUGGCUGGGAGAAGGUCCCAAGGGGUCCUGUAACUAGGGAGCUGGUCCCAGAGGCCUCUGGGGUUGCAGAGGCCGUUCCUGCCUUGGUAAAGACCCUGACAACAAGCCCCAACAGAGCACCCUUCUCUGGGAGAAGAGGGAGGAGACUCUCAGCCUAGUACCAAAUGUCACCUUGUUCUCCAUCCCUGAGACUUGUCUGAGAGGCCUGGAUUCCAGCUGGGGACUGAAUGGCUGUGUGACCUUUGGGCAAGUCACUAUCCCUGGGCCUCAGUCUCUCUAUCUGUAACAAUGUCCUGCCUAGGGGUCUAAAUUCUCACCAGAAUUUAGAUGCCUGGUGAUGGCUGUGCCAGACAGGAAAUUCCUAUAAGGGCAGUGACCAGGGCCAUGUGGAGCCCAAGCUACCUGGAGAAUGAAUGAUGUAGGCUUGGGAGACACUAAAAUUAGCCACCCCCUGUCACUCCAGCCCUGAGGUUUGGGAGUGCUGGUGCAGCCUGCUUCGAGCCUGGGGGACAGCAGUUGUGGAUGGUCCCUGGCCUGGCCUCUCCUGGCCUCAGCUGUCCCAUCUACAGAAUGGGCUGCCCUAAGUCACUCUAGCAGCAGAGGGAGAAGUGAAUGGGAGACACCAAGUCAGAAAGGUGGCCUGUCCCUCUAUCCCCCGCCAUGUGAGUCCAGGAGGAAAAUCCAGGCUCGUGAGGCCCCAACAGCAGGAUGGGAGGCAGUUAUCUUCAGGGAAGUUAUGGCCUUGCAAGGGAGGCAGAAAGUGGUUCCCAAAUGAUCUCCCCACUGCUAGUGGGAGCCACCUCCUCUCCCUGAAGGCCACCGUGGCUCCCAGGUCCAGCUCUGCCCCCAGUUGCUGCACCCACCCAGGCAAACCCAUUGACCUUGGUUUCCCACUCGUGAAAUCUUGACUUGCGUGUGGUAGGGGGAGCUCAAGCCCAAGGAAGAUGAGGAAAGCUUUGGGGAAGCAGCAAGAAGCAGCUCAUGAUAUUGCCGAGCACGCACCAGUGAAGGGGCACCUGACGUAUCCCUCGCCUACCUCUGACUCUGGCUUCCAGCCCUAUGCCUGGGACACCCCUGCGAGGGAUCUCACAUCACGUGGUUCCAGGGUCACGGCAUUCCCCCUACACGUGGGCUCUGGGCCUGCAGAGCUUCAAAGGGAACCCCACCUUCCAUGGGGAGAGAUGAAAACAGUCCAGCAGGGAAGAGGUGAGCGGACACCAGCUGAACAAACAGAAGCCCCCAUGGGACCGGGCCUGACCCCUCUCCUGUGGUCCGAGCCUGACACCUGGGCUUCCUUCCGCUGGAUGUGUGACAGGCACAGAGAUAGGGUAUGCGUGUGUCCGUGGCAUACAAGCGGGUUGGUGCCGGGCGCAUGUAUGCACACGCAUACGCGCUCUGGUGCACACCAUGAAGUGUGUGGCUCAGUAUAUGCUGUGCCGGGCAGGCUGUGGCUGUCUCACCUCCGGGGCAGGUUAAGAACACAAGGGAGCAGGGGUUGGUGAAUCCUAGCCCACGAGCCACAUCUGCCCACUGCCUGCUUUUGCACAGCUCCUGAGCUAAGUAGUGGCUUUUACAUUUUUAAAUAGUUGGAAAAAAAAAAGAAUAUUUCAUGACUUGUGAAAAUUCUAUCCAUUCAAAUUUUAGUGUCCACAACUAGCUUUAUUAGAACAUGGCCACAUGUGCUCAUUUGCUCACCAUCUGUGGCUACUUUUAUACUGCAAUUGCAGAAGUGAGCACUUACAACAGAGACAGUAUGGCCCAUAAGGGGCUAAGAUAUUUACUAUCUGACCUUAUCAGAAAGGCUGUCAGCUCCAGUGUUAGGGCACUAGCAAAGCUGGGGCAGCUACUACUUCCCCCCAGAACAAGUUAAAGUCCAGCUUCAGUGAGCUUAUCAAGAUUUUUACAAUUAGGGGCGCCUGGGUGGCCCAGUGGUUGAGCGUCUGCUUUUGGCUCAGGGCGUGAUCCCGAGUUCUGGGAUCGAGUCCCACAUCGGGCUCCCUGCAUGGAGCCUGCUUCUCCCUCUGCCUGUG